UUCUUUGUAAUCCUAUUUAUUUUAUGUUCUUAAAAAAGUUAUUUUUUUUUAUUUCAUUAAGACUUUAUUGCAGUGGAAAAUGGAGCAGCCCCUCAACUGGAGCCAUCCUUGUCAUGGCCUAGGAGGUGGGGGAGGGAGAGAUGCCAGUGAAGAUGUGUCUCUGGGGGAUACUCUGAUCCCUGAGGUUCAAGGUGUCCCAAGUUCUACACAUUAAGGUUAAGAAGAUUCAGAGUGAGGUUGUAAGCAUCAUGGCAGAGAGAAAAUGGUCUCUACCCAGGAGAUAUGGAUCAGCUCAGGAAGCUCUAUGGAACUAUUAAAUGCCACUUUUAAUCAUGGAAUGCUUCUACUAGCCAGCAACAGUAUCAACAAUCAGGAAGUACCAGAUGCCUUAACCACUUUAAGGAUCUCUGAUUCUACCAGUGUCAGUACUCUGUACACCAGUGAAGAUCACAACUCUCUCAUGCCUUAGGAAAUGGUCGUCAAGAAUCCUGUAGCUAAAAGAAGAACAAAAGCGGAUAGCCAACCCCAUGCCAACUUUUUGCUACACUAAGCUAGACUGGCCCCCAGGCUUUAGAGUCUUGUGAAAGGGCCUGUUCUCAGUCUUUCCACCUUAAUAGGACAGACCAAAGUAUUUCCUCAGCUGGAAGAGAACAAACAUUACCUACAAGGUGAUAUCAUGUCAUGUUGGUGAGGAAAUAUAUGAAGACUCCAUAUGGUGAGACAUUAAAAUGUCAGUUUUGUCUUUUGUUUUUGUAUCCCCAGCUCCUAGCAUAUUGCCUGGGAUAUAGCAAUUGGUUAAUAAAUGGUUUUGCUGAUUUAAUGUAUUAUUAU
ensembl:lncRNA